UUGGCGACGGUGGUCCUGCGUUGUGGUGUGCUGUUUGCGAGCGCUGUCAUGGCUGUCAUGGCCUGUAACCGAACAGUUUAGCUGGUGGUAAUGGUCCUAAAUCUGUGUAUGUGCACGCGAUGUUGCUCUCAAUCCGUGUGAGCGAACCGUUUGCCGUGCUGCCUGUCUCUUGCCAGUGGGCUGAUUAUGUGUGUGCGCUGUGGAAACAUGGGGUGAUCUGCUGCACUGCUGAACGGCGGCUCGUGUCUUGGCUUUGGGUAUCUCUCUCUCUCCCCCUGUGGGAUUGCCCUCUGCCUGGUCAGCCCAGUUCCGGCUCUGUCUUGGCUCUAAGUGGGCUUGCCGGUUUUAGCAUUUCUUUGUGGUUUGGGUCUAGUUAUAGUAUAUUUAGUUUAUGGUUGGCAUUUUGCUUUGGGUAUGUUAUUUUCAAUCUUCUGUUUUAAUUUAGGUUGGUUUAAAUUAUUUGAUUUGCAUGUUUUGAUUAAUUUUUGGUGUGUUUUAUCCUUUUUGCCACUGUGUAUUUUAAAUUAUUAGACCCAUAUUUCUAUUUUAUUCAGUAAUGGCAUGCCUUUUUAAUUGGUAUACAU